AAUGGAAUUGCUAGAUUAUAUGGUAAAUCUACAUUUUGCUUUUUGAGGAACUGCCAAACUGUUUCCCAAAGUGGUUGUCCCAUUUUAUAGUCAUACCAACAAU
rnacentral:pre_miRNA from 1 species